UUACUUACCUGGAAGGGGGGGUUCCCUUCUUCUUGCUUUGAAUGACUUGGUGUAGUUAGAGGGUAAAGGCCUGUCCCUUGUACUGCAGGCAGGCUGACCCCUACAAGAAUCUACAAGUGCCUCCAAAUGCAAGGAUCUUGGCUACACAAUUUAUGGUGGUGGGGGAUUGCUUUCAGGCUUUCCCUGU
rnacentral:snRNA from 14 species